rnacentral:tRNA from 1 species
GGGGUUAUGGCUCAGAGGUAGAGUAUAUGCCUGGCAUGCAUGAAGCACUGGGUUUGACCCUCAGUACCACA